UACGUAGGGUGCGAGCGUUAAUCGGAUUUACUGGGCGUAAAGCGUGCGAAGGCGGCCCGUUAAGACAGGUGUGAAAUCCCUGGGCUCAACCUAGGAAUUGCGCUUGUGACUGGCGGGCUCGAGUACGGUAGAGGGGGGUGGAAUUCCUGGUGUAGCAGUGAAAUGCGUAGAGAUCAGGAGGAACACCGAUGGCGAAGGCAGCCCCCUGGGCCUGUACUGACGCUCAUGCACGAAAGCGUGGGGAGCAAACAGG
rnacentral:rRNA from 1 species